rnacentral:sRNA from 1 species
UACAUAAUACUGAAAGCACAGGGGUGGU